rnacentral:rRNA from 1 species
UACGGGGGGGGCAAGCGUUGUUCGGAAUUACUGGGCGUAAAGGGCUCGUAGGCGGCCAACUAAGGUCAGACGUGAAAUCCCCAGGCUCAACCUGGGAACUGCGUCUGAUACUGGAUGGCUUGAAUCCGGGAGAGGGAUGCAGAAUUCCAGGUGUAGCGGUGAAAUGCGUAGAUAUCAGGAGGAACACCGGUGGCGAAGGCGGGUCUCUGGGCCGAAAUUGACGCUGAGGAGCGAAAGCGUGGGGAGCGAACAGG